rnacentral:rRNA from 1 species
CCUACGGGAGGCUGCAGUGAGGAAUAUUGGUCAAUGGACGAGAGUCUGAACCAGCUAAUUGUCGUGAAGGAUGACUGCCCUAUGGGUUGUAAACUUCUUUUAUAUGGGAAUAAAAUGUUCCACGUGUGGGAUUUUGUAUGUACCAUAUGAAUAAGGAUCGGCUAACUCCGUGCCAGCAGCCGCGGUAAUACGGAGGAUCCGAGCGUUAUCCGGAUUUAUUGGGUUUAAAGGGAGCGUAGGUGGAUUGUUAAGUCAGUUGUGAAAGUUUGCGGCUCAACCGUAAAAUUGCAGUUGAAACUGGCAGUCUUGAGUACAGUAGAGGUAGGCGGAAUUCGUGGUGUAGCGGUGAAAUGCUUAGAUAUCACGAAGAACUCCGAUGGCGAAGGCAGCUUACUAAACUGCCACUGACAUUGAUGCUCGAAAGUGUGGGUAGCAAACAGGAUUAGAUACCCGGGUAGUA